GACGAACGCUGGCGGCGUGCUUAACACAUGCAAGUCGAACGGAAAGGCCCUGCUUUUGUUGGUUGCUCGAGUGGCGAAAAGGUGAGUAACACGUGAGUAUCAUCCCCUUUACUUUGGGAUAACUCUAUUAAACUGGGUCUCAUAUCCGAUAUAACCUUCUGCUGCACGGUGGGUUUUUUUAAGUUUCGGCGUUUCGGGAUGGACACACGGAUCAUCAUCUUGUUGGCUAGGUAGUGUCGUACCAAGGCUUCGACGGGAAGCCAGACUGCGAGGGUGACCGGCCACAUUGGGACUGAGAUGCGACCCAGAGUCAUACGGGGGGAAGCAGUGGGGAAUAGUGCGCGAUGGGCGGAGGCAUGGUGGAGCGACUCCGCGUGCGGGAUGUCGGCUUUCGGGUUGUAACCCGUUUGCGAGUGUGACGAAGCGUGAGUGACGGUAAUGUGUAAAGAAGCAACGGCUAACUACGUG
rnacentral:rRNA from 1 species